AUUGACUAUUGGAUUGUCAAAUCUCAUGGUCAGGAUUUGGUCUGGAUUUUGUAUUGAGAUCAAGUUUUGUAUUGAUCAUUUUCCUAUAUAUAUAUAUAUUAUACAUACAUCUCUUCCCACCAUCUUCUCCAUUAAUUCCAAAUCUGAGAAGAGAAGCACAACGAAAAUAGUUCCAGCAAUUGCAAAUUAUCAUAUCCAAUUGAAGAUCGAAAAGGGUAAAUUUGUGCACGUCGAUUGCUGUGAGAACGAAAAGUGAUUGAGGAGUUAAGCGUUUGAGGUUGAGAGUGACGGGUGCGGUGGGUGUUGAGCAAGACC